rnacentral:lncRNA from 1 species
GUGACGAGACAAACCAUGCUUCUGCCACAUCCACACAGGACAUUUUGGAUCAAGUGACUUCUGAGAAGAAAACUGAGGCUCAGCCUGUCCACCAAGCUUACCAAAUGAGCUCGUUUGAACAGCCCUUCCAUGCUCCAUAUCAUGGAUCUAGAGCUGGAAUAGCUACUCAAUUUAGCACUGCCAACAGACUGGUGAACCUGGGGGAACCAGGGACAAGUGCUGAAUGUUCAGAAUUUCCCUUGGUGAAUGUAAAUGAUAACAGAGCUGGGAUGACAUCUUCAGCAGAUGCCACAACUGGCCAGACUUUUGGCUAAAAAAAAAAGUGUAAAUAAUACUGGCACUUUAGAACAGAUUAAUCAAGUGUGGGGUUACUCUGUGUAAAAUGGAGUGCUGUACAGAUUUAAGAGCAACGCAUUCUAACAAGUUAAGCUGAUAUGAAUAGCAAGACAAUCCAAUACCUGCAUUUUGUUUGGAGAAUCACUAAGAAAUAUGUGUCCUUGAUUUCCCAAAGGAUUAGUGGUAUUGAUUUGAAGAUUGUGGAAGACACUGCCAACUACAAUUCCCACUCAAAUGAGAAUCCCACUGAGUUCCAAAGAUGGGUGUGGCAGCAGCUGAUUGGGAGAUCAAACAGAGUUGUGCUCAGAGAUGCUUCGAAGAGAGAAGUGCAGAUCACUUGGCAAUGCCCAGGUACAGCCCUGGGCACAGUCUCCCUGGGCAGCUGUGAGCCAAUGACAGGGAAAGGCUUGGGGCCUUGGACUUGGCCAUUUCUGCC